CCAAAGGAUCACGAAAGUAGAGGAACAGCCCUCUCAGCUGUGGUAUUACCAAGCAAACCUGCUGCUGGUUCUCUGCCAGCCAUGCUGUCUGCUUCCAGCUUGGUACUUACGAUCUUGUUGAUGUUGGGAGGGACCAGUGGAGACUCAGUGACCCAGACAGAAGGCCCUGUUACCCUGCCAGAGGGGAAAACUUUGACACUGAACUGCACUUACCAGACCACCUACACUACUACAGAAUAUCUUUUCUGGUAUGUCCAAUAUCCAAAAAAAGAGCCUGUUCUUCUCCUGAAAAGCUCAUCGGAUAAUCAGGAGGUCAACAACAGAGGUUUUCAGGCCAAACUUGUGAAGACUCAGAAAUCCUUCCACUUGCAGAGACCUUUAGUGCGAAUGGCAGACUCGGCGGUGUACUUCUGUGCUUUGAGUGACACAGUGCAGGAGUCCACAGGGGGAGCUGAGCACAAACCCAGAGCGGCUCACACGGGGCUGCAGGGCAGCAGCCUGGCUAUUCUGGGAGCCACAGGGAGCUUCUCUGACUGUUCUCAGGAGACAUACAGGUGUUCCCUGAAAUUACCUGAGGUGUCCCCCACAUCUCAGAGCCCCUGCUCCGGCACACGAUAUCCCUACUGCAAAGUUAUACCAGUGCCCUUGGCUAGAGUUUGA